UAGGUUCACCACUGUACUAACCUGUCACACACUGAAGACCUAUAGGUUCACCACUGUACUAACCUGUCACACACUGAAGACCUAUAGGUUCACCACUGUAUUAACCUGUCACACACUGAAGGCCUAUAGGUUCACCACUGUAUUAACCUGUCACACACUGAAGGCCUAUAGGUUCACCACUGUAUUAACCUGUCACACACUGAAGGCCUAUAGGUUCACCACUGUACUAACCUGUCACACACUGAAGGCCUAUAGGUUCACCACUGUAUUAACCUGUCACACACUGAAGGCCUAUAGGUUCACCACUGUACUAACCUGUCACACACUGAAGGCCUAUAGGUUCACCACUGUAUUAACCUGUCACACACUGAAGACCUAUAGGUUCACCACUGUACUAACCUGUCACACACUGAAGACCUAUAGGUUCACCACUGUAUUAACCUGUCACACACUGAAGACCUAUAGGUUCACCACUGUACUAACCUGUCACACACUGAAGGCCUAUAGGUUCACCACUGUACUAACCUGUCACACACUGAAGACCUAUAGGUUCACCACUGUACUAACCUGUCACACACUGAAGACCUAUA